GAAAGGAAGCCCAGGAGCCAAACAAAGUACUUCAUAUCAGCAUAAUUGGAGAGACCUCAGCAUCUGGCUUCAUUUGUGAUGGUGAUACUAAAGACCCUCUUCCAGACCCAAAAGGAAUACCAGACACACCAAAGGAUUAUGUGGGUGACUUGCCUGACCCCUCAGCCUACCCCAGGCCUACAAGAAGGGUGUCCUCUUUGGCAUGCGCUUCAGCUGCGCCGCAUGUUUUGACUGACGCAGUCCUGAAUCAACAAGAAGAGAUCAAUACAUCAAUUGUUGGACUCCAACAGCAGCUGGAGGGUGUAUGCUACGGCCUGAGAGAGAGAAAUCAAUCAUCGAAAGAACUUGUUGAUUGUGUCAAACGUGUGAGACA